rnacentral:misc_RNA from 1 species
GAUGAAGAACGCAGCGAAAUGCGAUACGUAAUGUGAAUUGCAGAUUUCAGUGAAUCAUCGAAUCUUUGAACGCACAUUGCGCCCGCUAGUAUUCUGGCGGGCAUGCCUGUUCGAGCGUCAUUUCAACCAUCAAGCCCUAGGCUUGCGUUGGAGCCCUGCGGCUGCCGCAGGCUCCCAAAUCCAGUGGCGGGCUCGUCGUCGUACCGAAUGCAGUAAACAUCCUCGCUCAGGGAACGUGACGGGUUCUUGCCGUGAAACCCCCCACAUAUCAAGGUUGGCCUCGGAUCAGGUAGGAAUACCCGCUGAACUUAAGCAUAUCAAUAAGCGGAGGA